CUGAGAAAAAUGGUGACGUGUUCAAUACUUAUUUUACCCGUUGUAUGUGGUUGUUUGGCAUUCAUUUUCACACGCACCUUUCACACACCUUGAGACACACUGUGCCAAACUCCCGAGAAACCUCUCCCGAUUCUGUAUAAGUAUAUCACUAGAGGGGGUUUCUUCCCGCUGGAGUCUACAAUGCGGAAAAAAAAUCGGAGACCUGUCACCCGAUGUUAUUUGUGCAUAAAUCUGUCGCAGUUGAGGCAUUCAGUGUUUUUUCGUGUUCUCACCUGUUUGAUUCCUGAUUGGCUACCACCUCCAAGUGGCUGCAGCUGCUACUAAUCUGGCUCAUCACUGUUGGCUUCAUAAGGAGGACCUGAAGAUCAGUUCUUCGCUGAUGCAUCGUUUACCUUUGAUACCUUUUGAUCUCUACCUGGACCAUCUUCCUCUUGUAAUCCUGAAGCCCCUGAAAGAGAGCCACUCACCUGUCCUCGUGCUGCGCUGCCUGUCUGCCUCUAACUGGAAACUACACCACUUACCUCAGAGAACCUCUUCUCACCUGGAAACCUUGGACCUACUCCUCAGUGCUGAGCCUUCACCUCCCUCCUGACUGAACCCCAAAACCCCAUCACCUG